UAAUACGUAGGGAGCAAGCGUUGUCCGGAUUUACUGGGUGUAAAGGGUGCGUAGGCGGCUUUGCAAGUCAGAUGUGAAAUCUAUGGGCUCAACCCAUAGCCUGCAUUUGAAACUGCAGAGCUUGAGUGAAGUAGAGGCAGGCGGAAUUCCCCGUGUAGCGGUGAAAUGCGUAGAGAUGGGGAGGAACACCAGUGGCGAAGGCGGCCUGCUGGGCUUUAACUGACGCUGAGGCACGAAAGCGUGGGUAGCAAACAGG
rnacentral:rRNA from 1 species